rnacentral:lncRNA from 1 species
UUUGCUAGAUCCCCAAAUCACUACUCAAAAUCAUCUUCUGCAGAUUAAUACAUCUGUCAACUAUAAAGCUUCAAAGAUCUGCUCUCUGUUUAAUUGCAAUCAUAGGGCUUCUAUCCACAAUCGCUCAUUCAAUUCGCUUCGAGAUCGAAUCGGGUCACACAAAGUGUAUAGCAGAAGAUAUCAAAAGCAGUUCGAUGACUGUUGGUCAGUACUCAAUUGUUAACCCUAAUGAAGGACAACCUUUACGGCUUUACCUGAAUCUCACAGAAUCACUUUCAGAGCUCGGGAGAAAGAAGCAGAUGGAUUAGGGUUAGAAAUUGGGGGAGAUAUGUUAGAGCAUUCACAUCCAUUCCACCAUAUUUUCACCCUAAAUUACACUAAAAAACACUAUAUUUUCUCUCUCCUUUUCAAUUAAAUAAUAUUUUUAUACCUUUAUCAUUACAGUUUCUC